CCUACGGGAGGCUGCAGUGGGGAAUAUUGCGCAAUGGGCGAAAGCCUGACGCAGCGACGCCGCGUGAGGGAUGAAGGUCUUCGGAGCGUAAACCUCUGUCAGCAGGGAAGAACGGGCACUGUGGUAAUCAGCAGUGAAUUGACGGUACCUGCAAAGGAAGCACCGGCUAACUCCGUGCCAGCAGCCGCGGUAAUACGGGGGGUGCGAGCGUUAAUCGGAAUUACUGGGCGUAAAGCGCUCGUAGGCGGUAUGUCAAGUCAAGGGUGAAAUCCCCGUGCUCAACGUGGGAACUGCCUUUGAUACUGGCAAACUGGAGUGUGUGAGAGGAUAGUGGAAUUCCAGGUGUAGGAGUGAAAUCCUUAGAUAUCUGGAGGAACCUCAGUGGCGAAGGCGACUAUCUGGCACAUAACUGACGCUGAGGCGCGAAAGCGUGGGUAGCAAACAGGAUUAGAUACCCCAGUAGUC
rnacentral:rRNA from 1 species